rnacentral:rRNA from 1 species
GGAAGAGGUCAGCGGUAUUUCUGGGGUAGGGGCGAAAUCGUUUGAUCCCGGGAGGACCACCAGUGGCGAAGGCUGCUGACUAGGACACGCCUGACGGUCAGGGACGAAAGCUGGGGGAGCGAAUCGGAUUAGAUACCCGAGUAGUCCCAGCCGUAAACGAUGCACGCUAGGUGUUGGAGCGGUCACGUACCGCCUCAGUGCCACAGGGAAGCCAUUAAGCGUGCCGCCUGGGGAGUACGGCCGCAAGGCUGAAACUUAAAGGAAUUGGCGGGGGAGCACCACCAGGCGUGAAGCCUGCGGUUUAAUUGGAGUCAACGCCGGGAACCUUACCGGGGGCGACAGCAGGGUGAAGGCCAGGCUGAAGGUCUUGCCGGACGAGCUGAGAGGAGGUGCAUGGCCGUCGCCAGUUCGUGCCGUGAGGUGUCCUCUUAAGUGAGGUAACGAACGAGACCCGCGCCCCUUGUUGCCACCAAAUCCUAUAGGGAUGUUGAGCACUCUUGG